AGAGUUUGAUCAUGGCUCAGAAUCAACGCUGGCGGCGCGCCUAACACAUGCAAGUCGCACGAGAAAGCCGCAAGGCAAGUACAGUGGCGCACGGGUGAGUAACACGUGGACAAUCUGCCUUUAGUGGGGAAUAACCAUGGGAAACCGUGGCUAAUACCGCAUAAGCUCGAGAGAGGAAAGCAGCAAUGCGCUGAAGGAGG
rnacentral:rRNA from 1 species